GAGAGCAAGAGCCCGGAGAUGGAUUCUGAGACAUGAAUCCAGGCCCUACGGGGGCCAGCAGGCCGGAAAACUUUACAAUGCGGGAAACCGGGAUAAGGGGACACCGAGUGCCAGCAUCAUAUGCUGGCUGUCCGGAUGNGUAAAAUACAUCCGUUAGCAAGGGCCGGGCAAGACCGGUGCCAGCCGCCGCGGUAACACCGGCGGCCCGAGUGGUGAUCGUGAUUAUUGGGUCUAAAGGGUCCGUAGCCGGUUUGGUCAGUCCUCCGGGAAAUCUGAUAGCUCAACUAUUAGGCUUUCGGGGGAUACUGCCAGACUUGGAACCGGGAGAGGUAAGAGGUACUACAGGGGUAGGAGUGAAAUCUUGUAAUCCCUGUGGGACCACCUGUGGCGAAGGCGUCUUACCAGAACGGGUUCGACGGUGAGGGACGAAAGCUGGGGGCACGAACCGGAUUAGAUACCCGGGUAGUCCCAGCCGUAAACGAUGCUCGCUAGGUGUCAGGCAUGGCGCGACCGUGUCUGGUGCCGCAGGGAAGCCGUGAAGCGAGCCACCUGGGAAGUACGGCCGCAAGGCUGAAACUUAAAGGAAUUGGCGGGGGAGCACAACAACGGGUGGAGCCUGCGGUUUAAUUGGACUCAACGCCGGACAACUCACCGGGGGCGACAGCAAUAUGUAGGCCAAGCUGAAGACUUUGCCUGAAUCGCUGAGAGGAGGUGCAUGGCCGUCGCCAGUUCGUACUGUGAAGCAUCCUG
rnacentral:rRNA from 1 species